ensembl:lncRNA
CACUCUGGAAAGUGGUUCACCUUUUCGUGCGAUUGGAACAUCCCAUUUAUUUGCUACAGUCAAUCUGCCCAAAGACAUGUGAUGAACGUAAAACUGGAAGUGAUGGAACCCAACUCUAAUCUGGACAUGGAUGCCUCUGUAGUGAGAGAAGGAAUCCUGCAGCAGCUCAAACAGAAACUGGACCAAGGAGGGAACAAACACAUCAGACUGAGCUGGAGCAAGGGGUCAGAUGGAAAAGUCUUCCACAAGGUCAAGAAGGAAACGAAGAAGAAGAGGAGCCCUGAAGGAGAGCUUUAACUCUUUCCUUCAGCAGCUGU